rnacentral:rRNA from 1 species
UACGUAGGGUGCGAGCGUUAAUCGGAAUUACUGGGCGUAAAGCGUGCGCAGGCGGUUUUGUAAGCCAGGUGUGAAAUCCCCGGGCUCAACCUGGGAAAUCGGCAUUUGGGACUGCAAGGCUGGAGUGCGGCAGAGGAGACUGGAAUUCCUGGUGUAGCAGUGAAAUGCGUAGAUAUCAGGAGGAAUACCGAUGGCGAAAGGCAGGUCUCUGGGC